rnacentral:rRNA from 1 species
UACGAAGGGGGCUAGCGUUGUUCGGAAUUACUGGGCGUAAAGCGCGCGCAGGCGGUCCUUUAAGUCGGAUGUGAAAGCCCUCGGCUCAACUGAGGAAGUGCACCCGAAACUGGCGAGCUUGAGUACGAAAGAGGAUCGCGGAAUUCCCGGUGUAGAGGUGAAAUUCGUAGAUAUCGGGAGGAACACCGGUGGCGAAGGCGGCGAUCUGGGUCGAUACUGACGCUGAGGUGCGAAAGCGUGGGGAGCAAACAGG